GCUACAAGGGUGUUUGUGCAGUUCUACUGUUUCAGCACUCAGAGAUGGCAAAGAGAAAUGGUGUGCAGCUUUGGCCUCUCAGAAACAAUAAGUGAAUUUGCUCAAUUCACACUAAGCUCACAACUGCUAAGGAAGGAAACUGNUGCUGUACUUUUGGCGUCUCGGGAAAACUGCUGNUGCACUUAAUUUCCAAAACUNCAUAUAUUGUCGUGGUUCACUCUGCCCGAAAGUCACAUUUCAUAGCUUGAUUCUUCAUUCUCUUAACUUCCUUUGAUGCUUCCUAGUGUAGUGAGCAAUCUGAACUGUAUCACACCUAAUCAGCCAAGCAUGUUAGCACUGCAGAUUGACUCAUUGCUGCCAGAAAAAUCACAUACAAGUGACAACAACACCAAGACUUUCGUCAAACAGAUGGUGUGCAGAGUGUUCAAAAAUAAAAAAGCAAGCAAUUAAAUGGAUAUCAAUCACGGUGGCACUUCAAAAUGAUCUUAGGAUUGGCUCUAGAACAGAUUAAUAACACAAGAAAAGACCAGCACUCAGAAUUAAGCACGAAUAAGCUAUGCUCUAAGAUUGGACCAAACUGUUUGAUAAAAGGUCUCAAUGAACUUGCAUAAAUUUGACAGCAAAAACUCAAUGUGCAGAUCAGAUUUUCGAAAACAGGAUGCACUGGUCCUAUUCUGCNUUUUAAUGCUUUAAUAACUCUUUUGGAAUUGUUAUUUUGAUAUUUUAUGGACCAAANACUUUUGCUACAUCCAUUCUUAUUGAAUCAAACAGAAAAUCAAUGCAAGUGUAAAAACUUUGAGGCAGAGCUCUCGGUCACAACCAAUUCUGACCAGUAAAAUUGACCAUUGCUAUAUACCAAAUGCACAGUACUGCUUAUAUACUCAUGCCAAUGANUCAAACAUGUUUCAAUAGUGAAUUAAGACUUGUUGCAUCAGAUUUGAUGGAUCAAAACAGCAUAGAACAGAAUAUGCCUAGUGCAGUACCAAUUUUCACUCAAAUUCACAACUCCAAUGGUCAAAAUGCAAUGUGGCCUUAAUUCAGAGUUAAAAACAGUUCAGAUAAGUUGCAAAUGGUAAUUGAAAGUUGCUCAAAACAGCAGAAACACUUUUAAAGAUGAAUGGCAAUGAUCUAAUACCACUCUUACUCAAUUAUGCAGAAUUUUAACAAUGAUGAUGUGCAGAUCGGUUUACUGCACCUUGCACUGGAAAAAAAAAUUACUGGACAUCAAGACACCUUCAUGAUCUAAUUGAAUCAAACAAUGACUCAAAACUGCAGCUCCAUAAAACAGUAAACUAUUUUUACCAAAUGAAUAGUAACGCUGCUGCAACCAAUUUUUUUUUUCCAGCAUUCAAGACAAACCUGAAAUAGACCUGGUUUGGUUGGCCAAAAUUUAAACACCUGAGCUCAUCUCAUAUCAAUUCACUGCUCUUAAUCGGUGUAGCCACAUCCAAACACUUNGAUUUUGGUAAAACUUNGUUGAAAACCAGAUGCAAAGACAGUAACAACAAUCAAACUGACAUGACUUCAAACAAAACUGGAAUGAUGCUCAAAUCAUGAAAAUGACNCAACAUUAGUAAGGAAAACCGAAUGAAAAUGAUGAUACACGAUCAAACAAAGUUGGUACAGAACAACAACACAACAGAACCUAAAAUACCGAAAAAAAUUGAAUGGAACAGUGGACUGGAAGCAAAGACAGUAAAGAAUGGUGAUGACAGAACAGAAAUUGAAGAAUGAUGAAACUUAUCUCACGGCAUCAGCACCCUUGCUCUGAAUACCAAAUGAUACAGAUGGCCCUAGUGUGGAUCUGCAGGUCCGUGAGCUUAGAUGUAAGAGGAUGUAAUGCGGAAGCUGAAACUCGUGGAAUGGUGGCAGUGGAAGCUGCUUUCAGAUGCAGAAUCUGAUGCAGAAUUGUGAGGUCUACUUCAACGGAUGUAAUAUGAUUUCUGGCAGCGGAAGAUGUGCUAUGUGAUGGCUGUUUGGAGUGGAGGAUGUGCUUAAAGGAGGUGGCUACAACUCAGGCAGCCUUCCAUACAAGGAAGGAAGUUGCAGAGGAGAAAAGAACAAGCAUGAAUGACUCUCGGCAGAGAAAGUUGGCUGGAAAUGAACAUCAGCAAAAUUUCUCUCAUAAUCCAAAAGUGCCGAUACAACUAUGCCAAGAGGUUUUUAUAGAACAACCUCUCGGUCAAGCAUGGAAAAGGCCUAUAGCCAUGUCAGCAUACAUGUGCUAAAUGUGUGGCUUUCUAGAAUCUCUUAUUUCUACACGUGAAUCUAAACAAGAAAUGAAAUCUGCACAUGUGGAGGGAGAUCUCUUGAUGCAGCCCCUAUGUGAUGUUCACACCCCUCCUUAUGUGGCAAUGACCAUUUUACCCCUCUCCAUGUUCUUGGGUUCUUCUUUAUUUGGUGGGCUUGGGCCCCGUGUAUCAUAUACUAGAAAGUUUGCAUGGUAAUUUGAUAAAUAAGUGAAGUAAAUAAGAAGAGUAGAUAUAUGAGAGUAGAUAAGAUGAAAUUGUAAACCCCAACAACACCAUUCAUCCAUAGUUUCUCAAAACUAAUUGAAUCAAUUGCAUUGCAUGUUUAUUUUUUUUCUUUGCAUAUAACCACCAAAUUUAAUCUCUUUUCAAGUCUUACAUGAAAGUUAAGGCCUAAGAGUCCUUUGGGAAAACGAUACUCGGACUUACCCGUUU
rnacentral:lncRNA from 1 species